CCUACGGGAGGCAGCAGUGGGGAAUUUUGGACAAUGGGCGCAAGCCUGAUCCAGCAAUGCCGCGUGAGUGAAGAAGGCCUUCGGGUUGUAAAGCUCUUUUGUCAGGGAAGAAACGGAUCUUUCUAAUACAGAGGUCUAAUGACGGUACCUGAAGAAUAAGCACCGGCUAACUACGUGCCAGCAGCCGCGGUAAUACGUAGGGUGCAAGCGUUAAUCGGAAUUACUGGGCGUAAAGCGUGCGCAGGCGGUUUUGUAAGUUUGUCGUGAAAUCCCCGGGCUCAACCUGGGAAUUGCGAUGAAGACUGCAAGGCUAGAAUCUGGCAGAGGGGGGUAGAAUUCCACGUGUAGCAGUGAAAUGCGUAGAGAUGUGGAGGAACACCGAUGGCGAAGGCAGCCCCCUGGGUCAAGAUUGACGCUCAUGCACGAAAGCGUGGGGAGCAAACAGGAUUAGAUACCCUGGUAGUCCACGCCCUAAACGAUGUCUACUAGUUGUCGGGUCUUAAUUGACUUGGUAACGCAGCUAACGCGUGAAGUAGACCGCCUGGGGAGUAACGGUCGCAAAGAUUAAAACUUCAAAGGAAUUGACCGGNNGAGAGNGCGAGACGACGACGAGGAGGAG
rnacentral:rRNA from 1 species